AAAGAUUAAGCCAUGCAUGUAUAAGUUUAAUCGUAUUUACGAGAAACCGCGAACGGCUCAUUACAAUGGCCAUGAUUUACUUGAUCUUGAUAAUCCUAAAUGGACAACUGUGGAAAAGCUAGAGCUAAUACAUGCACUAAAGCUUUGUCCUUACGGAAAAGCGCAUUUAUUAGAACAAAACCAAGCGGCUUCGGCUGCUUCUUGUUGACUCAGAAUAACUAAGCUGACCGCAUGGCCAAGUGCCGGCGGCGAAUCUUUCAAGCGUCCACUUUAUCAACUUGACGGGAGCAUAAUCGACUCCCGUGGUGGUGACGGAUAACGGAGGAUCAGGGUUCGACUCCGGAGAAGGGGCCUGAGAAAUGGCCACUACGUCUAAGGAUGGCAGCAGGCGCGCAAAUUACCCACUCUCGGCUCGAGGAGGUAGUGACGAGAAAUAACGAGGUCGUUCUCAAAUGAGGCCGGUCAUCGGAAUGGGUACAAUUUAAACCCUUUAACGAGUAUCAAGCAGAGGGCAAGUCUGGUGCCAGCAGCCGCGGUAAUUCCAGCUCUGCUAAUACAUAGAAUUAUUGCUGCGGUUAAAAAGCUCGUAGUUGGAUUCGUGUCGAUACCCUGGAACCCUUCGGGUGUCUCUAGGUGUUAUCGAUUUAUCGUAAUGUUCGGUCUUGAGUCCUUAACAGGAUUCCUGACAGGCGUUACAAGUUUACUUUGAACAAAUCAGAGUGCUUCAAACAGGCGUUUAGCUUGAAUGAUCGUGCAUGGAAUAAUAGAAUACGAUUUCGGUUCAGUUUUAUUGGUUUUACGGACUGAGAUAAUGGUUAACAGAGACAAACGGGGGCAUUCGUAUGGCCCCGUGAGAGGUGAAAUUCUUGGACCGUGGCCAGACAAACUACAGCGAAAGCAUUUGCCAAGAAUGUCUUCAUUAAUCAAGAACGAAAGUCAGAGGUUCGAAGGCGAUCAGAUACCGCCCUAGUUCUGACCGUAAACGAUGCCAACUAGCGAUCCGCCGAUGGAGUUUCAUUGCCUUGGUGGGGAGCUUCCCGGAAACGAAAGUCUUCCGGUUCCGGGGGAAGUAUGGUUGCAAAGCUGAAACUUAAAGGAAUUGACGGAAGGGCACCACCAGGAGUGGAGCCUGCGGCUUAAUUUGACUCAACACGGGGAAACUCACCCGGCCCGGACACUGUGAGGAUUGACAGAUUGAUAGCUUUUUCAUGAUUCAGUGGAUGGUGGUGCAUGGCCGUUCUUAGUUCGUGGAGUGAUUUGUCUGGUUUAUUCCGAUAACGAGCGAGACUCUAACCUACUAAAUAGCUGAUGCAUAUUUUACGUGUAUUCGGCUUCUUAGAGGGAUUUGCGGCUUUCAGCCGAAAGAAAUUGAGCAAUAACAGGUCUGUGAUGCCCUUAGAUGUCCGGGGUUGCACGCGCGCUACACUGGCAAAAUCAACGUGCUUGUCCUACCCCGAAAGGGGUGGGUAAACCAUUGAAAAUUUGCCGUGAUUGGGAUCGGAAAUUGCAAUUAUUUUCCGUGAACGAGGAAUUCCAAGUAAGUGCGAGUCAUCAGCUCGCGUUGAUUACGUCCCUGCCCUUUGUACACACCGCCCGUCGCUGCCCGGGACUGAGCCAUUUCGAGAAACUUGGAGACUGUUGAUCUAAUUUUUUUAAGUUACUUUGAUGGAAACCAAUUUAAUCGCAGUGGCUUGAACCGGGCAAAAGUCGUAACAAGGUAGCUGUAGGUGAACCUGCUGCUGGAUCAUUACUUUUUGUGAUGUUCAAAUUCGAAUAGUCUCAACGUUUAUCGUUGUGAACGGCUGUCGCUGGUGUCUAGGUGUUGCUGAUUCAGCUGUCAACGUCCGUGGCUGAAUAUGAGGUGACAUGUUAGGACCUUAAUCGGGUUUAAGACUUAAUGAGCCUCUUAAGUGAGGACGCCAGCAAUA
rnacentral:rRNA from 1 species